UGAGAUGUAGCUCAGUGGUGGAGCACUUGCCUCGAAUGCUUGAGACCUUGGGUUUGAUCCCUAGCACCCCCC
rnacentral:tRNA from 1 species